CAGUAGCCGCGGUAAUACGUAGGUGGCAAGCGUUGUCCGGAAUUAUUGGGCGUAAAGGGCUCGCAGGCGGUUUCUUAAGUCUGAUGUGAAAGCCCCCGGCUCAACCGGGGAGGGUCAUUGGAAACUGGGAAACUUGAGUGCUGAAGAGGAGAGUGGAAUUCCACGUGUAGCGGUGAAAUGCGUAGAGAUGUGGAGGAACACCAGUGGCGAAGGCGACUCUCUGGUCUGUAACCGACGCUGAGGAGCGAAAGCGUGGGGAGCGAACAGGAUUAGAUACCCCUGUAGUCCCUGUCUCUUAUAC
rnacentral:rRNA from 1 species